GAGAUUUUAAAAAUUCUGGUGGCAAGUUAAGAUCCAAAAAGCUUCCAGCAUGGAAUAAAGUCUUCAUAAAGAUCCAGAAUCAGAAUGAUACCAGGUUUUCUUAACUGUGACUUCAGAAGCUAUAAUUGAUCAAUGCCUUUGUGCUGAUGGAAGAUUAUUUCCAACCUAAAAUUCUAUAUCCAGUUAAACUAUUAAUUAUAUGUACAGCUAGUGUGAAAGAAAAAUAUUUUAUAUCAUGCAUUUUCUGACAUGAAAAGUCUUUAAAAACUCCUUCCAGUCUCAUUUUCUCAGUAAGCUGCUGGGAGCAUGUAUCCUCCCAAAAAAGGUAGUGAAAAAGAAAUAGACCUGUGGAAUAAGGAAUCGCAGAAGGGAGAUAGAGCAUAUCACCAAGACGGUAGAGAAGGCUCCCCAAAUGAGCAUGGUGGUAGGCACACAGAGAAAUGAGUUAGUAACAGGUCAGAGGGCUGAGAAAGAGAUUAGCAGCCCUGAUAUCCAGGAGCUGGCUGCGCACUCACAGCUAAGCCCUGGUGUUCUGUUGAUCCUAAACAAUUUCACAGAACAUCAACUUCAGACAAAGCCACUGUGUGAUUAUGAUGGAGCAAGACAAAAACAAGACCAUUUCAUAAUUGUUUUUGAAUACAGACAAAAACAUGAAUGUUGUCCAAGCCACAAAACAGCAUACAUCCCCCACUUACAGUCUUUACCAAUUACAGCUUUCCUCCAUCUAGUCUUUUCUCUAAGAUUUGUUAAGAUACUCAACCAUAAAAUUACUCUCAUCUCCUGACAACAUCCAAAUUCAAAGCUAAGUCUCAUUCCUUACACCAUUUCCCACAUCACAUGACACAAGUCCAAGUGUGGCUAAUACCCUCUACUCCUUUCUAAUUCCCUCUGCUGAGACCUCCUACAAUUCCCUGUGGUAUGUGUUCUCCCUUGCUGCAAUGAGUGAUUAAACAACCCAUUCGAUUAUAAAAGCAUUCCUGUUGUCUUUUGCUAGAGGCCACUGACAAGGCUCAGGAAUGAUUUCUUCAAGAAAAUUAAAUGCGUGGACUAUCAAAUGUGUUUUAACACACUGAGAGGAAAUUCAUGCAACUGGAGAGAAGGGGCUUGGGACUGAACUAAUAAAUACACAGGAAAAUAUACAAAAGAAAAAACAGGAUGAUUAUAAAUUCCUGAGAGUGUAAAGUUUUAUUAAAAAAAGGGCAAUUAUAUAAUAUAACAUGGCUCAGGUAUGCAUAGGCUUCACAUGUUCAUAACA
rnacentral:lncRNA from 1 species